AUUGAACGCUUGCGGCAGGCCUAACACCUGCAAGUCGAACGAGCGGCGGACGGGUGAGUAAUGUAUGGGACACUGCCUGAUGGAGGGGGCUAACUACUGGAAACGGUAGCUAAUACCGCAUACCAUCGGCUUUUCCCAGAGGUGAUUAGCUAGUAGGUGGGGUAAAGGCUCACCUAGGCGACGAUCCCUAGCUGGUCUGAGAGGAUGACCAGCCACACUGGAACGGAGACACGGUCCAGACUCCUACGGGAGGCAGCAGUGGGGAAUAUUGCACAAUGGGCGCAAGCCUGAUGCAGCCAUGCCGCGUGUAUGAAGAAGGCCUUCGGGUUGUAAAGUACUUUCAGCGGGGAGGCGUUACCCGCAGAAGAAGCACCGGCUAACUACGUGCCAGCAGCCGCGGUAAUUC
rnacentral:rRNA from 1 species